rnacentral:rRNA from 1 species
UGAGGGAAAGGUGAAAAGAACCCCGGGAGGGGAGUGAAAUAGAACCUGAAACCAUAUGCUUACAAGAAGUUAGAGCCCGUUAAAGGGUGAUAGCGUGCCUUUUGUAGAAUGAACCGGCGAGUUACGAUAUGGAGCGAGGUUAAGCAGGAUAUGCGGAGCCGAAGCGAAAGCGAGUCUUAAUAGGGCGAAAGUUGCAUGUCGUAGACCCGAAACCGAGUGAUCUAGCCAUGACCAGGUUGAAGUUGGGGUAAAACCCGAUGGAGGACCGAACCGACCCCCGUUGAAACGUUGGCGGAUGAGUUGUGGCUAGGGGUGAAAUUCCAAUCGAACUCGGAGAUAGCUGGUUCUCCCCGAAAUAGCUUUAGGGCUAGCGUCGAGGUAAAGUCGUGUGAAGGUAGAGCACUGAAUAUGUGAUGGCCCCAUCUCGGGGUACUGAACAUAAUCAAACUCCGAAUGUCACAAAGAUAUACUCGGCAGUCAGACAGUGGGUGAUAAGGUCCAUUGUCAAAAGGGAAACAGCCCAGACCAUCAGCUAAGGUCCCAAAAUAUAUACUAAGUGGAAAAGGAUGUGGAGAUGUCCAGACAACUAGGAGGUUGGCUCAGAAGCAGCCAUCCUUUAAAGAGUGCGUAACAGCUCACUAGUCGAAUGACUCUGCGCCGAUAAUUUACCGGGGCUAAGUAUAUUACCGAAGCUAUGGAUUUACGCGUAAGCGUGAGUGGUAGGGGAGCGUUCUAUGUGCGGAGAAGCGGUACCGUAAGGAGCCGUGGAGCGCAUAGAAGAGAGAAUGCCGGUGUGAGUAGCGAAACGUGGGUGAGAAUCCCACGCACCGAAAACCCAAGGUUUCCAGAGGAAGGUUCGUCCGCUCUGGGUAAGUCGGGACCUAAGGCGAGGCCGAGAGGCGUAGUCGAUGGACAACAGGUAGAGAUUCCUGUACUUACGGUAUGAAUGAUGGAGUGACGGAGAAGGCUAGCGGAUCCUGCUGAUGGAAAUGCAGGUGCAAGCGAGGUAGCCGACAGCCAGGCAAAUCCGGCUGUCGAAAGGCAAAGGCGUGAGGCGUAUGGAAAGCUGCGGCAAGUACAGAAGUCCGUGAAGCCAGCUUCCAAGAAAAGCUUCUAGUGAUAAUCAUACAGUAACCCGUACCGAAAAUGGACACACAUGGGUGAGGAGAGAAUCCUAAGGUGAGCGAGAGAACUAUAGCUAAGGAACUCUGCAAAAUGACUCCGUAACUUAGGGAUAAGGAGUGCUCAUAGAGAUAUGAGCCGCAGUGAAACGGCCCAAGCGACUGUUUACCAAAAACACAGCUCUAUGCUAAGUCGAAAGACGACGUAUAUGGGGUGACGCCUGCCCGGUGCUGGAAGGUUAAGAGGAUGUGUCAGCGCAAGCGAAGCAUUGAAUUGAAGCCCCAGUAAACGGCGGCCGUAACUAUAACGGUCCUAAGGUAGCGAAAUUCCUUGUCAGGUAAGUUCUGACCCGCACGAA